ACUUUUUAAAUUAUUUUCAAAUUUGAAAUAGAGAGAAUUUCGUUUUAAAAAUUUGUAUUUUCCCCUUUUAAUAUUCUCCGCACAUCUCUUAUUCAUAUAGAAUUUAUAUUUAACGGAAGGUGUAUAAUUUUUAGAUAAGGCCUGAUUAAUAACUCGACGCGUUGGUAUUUGAAAUAGAAUGCGUAAGCUAUGUAUAUUUCAUCAGAGGAACCCAUUUUUAUGUGUCCUAUAUUAAGUUAUAACACUUGUCAAAAGUAGUUGACAUACUUAUUUUUUUCAGAACAUGCACUGUGUGUACUGUUAAUUGCAGUACUACAGAGGUGAGAGCUCAAAGAGUUAUUGUCAUGAUAUUUUUUUGGUUUUUGCGUCGUAAGUAAUUUUCAAGGCGACACUGAGGGGAAAACCACCCGUGACCCAGCGAAGAGGUGACACUCCUUGUCGUAUGUCAAUAAACUAUGUGAUAAAAGAACACAAAGGUUAUCAUAUUCAGGUGAAAACCGACAGGUUGAUGAAUUAAAUUUCAUUCAUAAAAAUUUCGGAAGUACAUUUUUGUAAGUUGCAGACAACGCGUGAUAUUUUAAUGAUGAAAAUAAAUAUCAGUAUGUAAUUUUGUACAGUAUACAAUUGUUUGAAGGUCAAAACUGCAGCCUUGUCAAAAAUCCUUCUCAAAAUGAAUAAUUAUACAGCAGACAGACAUGAUACGCUUUCUUGAAAUAGUUUAUAAUGACAUUUUUACUUUUCCAUUUCUUUGUAUAAAUUUUUUCUCGUUACAAGCUUAAGUUUCGAUUUUAAAUCAGAAAGAUGUGUACUUUUAUUUGAAAAAGAGUAAAUUGUUAAAUUGAUGGAGAAAAUAUCGAUUUAGUGAUUUUUGCACGUCAGUUGUAAACCGUCUGGAUUUCAUUCAUAAAGUCUGUCAUUGAAAGGAACGCCCCCAGACGGACAUAACUUCAUGCUGUUGAUUGCCAAAUACUUUCCAAAUUGAGUCGAUUCUACAAUCUUUGAUCACGUUUCGUGCCAGUCAUACUAGAAUAGUUUAUAAUUCCCUUUGUCUGUGCUAUUAAUAGAAAGGAAAAUAUGCCCUUGUUAUUUUUCUUUAUUCUCUCUCUUCUAAAUUCUAAUGUAGUAUGUAUUUUUGAAAGGCUUUUUAUUUUUAAUUUACGAGAUUACAUGCUUGUUAUGAGCCCUAUGUUUAGGAAAUAAAAUAUCUUUAUCUUUUCUAUUUUGGGGGAUAAUUUUUCUGAAAUUGUAGGACAAUGUUUAAUACCAUAAGUAGAAGGUUGGGAUUUAUUUUAAGGGGUUAUUUGGCAAACAGUCUAGGAAUUAAGGGUCAAAAAGGGGCCAAAAACAAGCAUUUUUCUAGUUUCAAGACAAGAACUUGUGUGUAAUUGUAUGGCUGAAUUCUACAGUUGCAUACAUUAUUACUGGGUCCUUCUUCAAUGCAAGCUUAAUUAACUUCAGGCCAAAAAUAAAGGGUACACAUGUACUUGUUUCCUACCUCCUAGCAGACGACACUAGGAAAGUAGAUAUUAAACUAAUUUUUCAUUUGCAAUAUUUGUCAGUCUUUUUAAAAAAUGUUUUUAUAUUUAACGGUGCUUAACUCCCUUAAAAAUUGCCUUUAGUGAUGUAUUGCCAAAUAAAUGCCUUCAAAAUGUGCUAGAAUAUUGUAGGAAUAGAGGCCGGAAACAUAAUUUUCAUUUGUUAGGCCUUACAUGUAUGUCCUGGUAUGGACAAAGAAAUGACUGAGAGCAUUAUUUUAUUCAUAAGCCGUCUGAGACAGAAACACAACACUUUUUGUUUGUGGGAUAAUUAAUAUCAUUAUCACAUCUGAAGUAUUGAAAUUAUAAUCACAUAAAUCAAACAUGUAAAGUUGAUAGUGUUGAAACAUAUUGUUGCCAGUCAAAUGCGUUAUAACCACAUCAAAGCCACGAAUAAAAGUCGGUUACUUUUGAAAUAUAUAUUAAUGGAUUUAGUUCGAAAAACAAAUUAUUUGAAUUUAUAAAUUCCAAAUUCAAAUUGUCGAAUCAUUGAUUAAUAAAUUACAACAUAUUUGCGACGACUGUUUGCUAUGUCUUUGUGUGGUCAGAGAAAACAAGCGCGAAAAUUCUUUUCCGGUGACGGUUUCAUUCAGAAAUGAUAUCUUGCGGUUUCCGAGGAUUGCUUAUGGCGGUUUAUUUAAUGAUGCUCAAACAUGUCUCUCAGUGCAAGAAAAAAAGUUUAUUGAAGUAACAUCUGUCCAUGAAAACUUUUAUAUAAUAUUAGUUUUGAUCGAAAUUUGGUAAGAACCACAUAUUCUAUGACCUCUUGGAGCGAUGUGACGGGUAUGUGUACGUCACCUAAUCACGAGCAUAUAAAGGAUAGGUAUAUUUAAAUUGAUAAAACUAGUUCGAUAUAGUCGAUAUUGAUCAUUAUGUAUUCAACGAUCUAGAAAUACAGUACUGAUGAAUACCUUUAAAUUUUUCGGAAAUAACUUUUCAUCAAUGGAUAUACAAAUUUUUCAGAAAUAACUUUUUAUCAAUGGAUAUACUCGAGAAGUCAACGAACUUCAGCCAGUACUUAUGAAUGAAAGAAUGAUCUAGUUUGUCUGUGUACGUACAAUUAUUUCGAUUGGAAAACAGAUUUAUCCAAUGGUGUGACUUUAACAUUGACGACAAACUAUGAAUGAAAAAUAGUUUGACUGUGAAUGUACAAAGCUUUUUAACAGAUUCAAACCUAGACCGAAGAAUUUAAAUUAUUUACAUCAUUCUAUCUAUUCUAUUGAAAAUAUGUAUUGACGAAAAACAUUAAAUGACGCACGAAAAAUUCAACAUGAGAUAUUUAAAAUGGAUAUAACUAUUCAGAUAUAUAUUUACCACCCAAUAUCGCACUAUAGGUAAACGAAUAGUUGUAAAAUAGUUUGUAAUAUGUCUGCGUGGGAGUUGUAGUAUGGCGAUAAGAUCACGACGUGAAUGAAGUGCCAAGCUGGUGUGUAUAUCUGUGUAUUCCAUUCAACCUGAAAAAUAUUUGUUUUAUUCAACAAAAAGCUGUGAGGUAAGUAUGUAUAUAUUUUUACCAGAAUACUACAUUUAUUUUUAAAAUUUAUCACAUUCCAUGUAAUUCAAAUCCACCGAAUUCACAAAGAAAUUUUAACCCGCUUGAAUUCCUGAAAAAGUAAUAAAUUGAUUUAUAUUCCGCCAAAAGAGUAUAAUUUUCAAAAUCUUCAAAUUUGAUAUUUUUCUUGUUUUGUCAGGUUGGUUGUUUUCUUCUUCAUUUUGUGAAUAUUUCAUAUAACAUUGUACAUCAAGCGCGACUGAAUUUUUAUACUCAUUUCACGUUGCACAAUGUGAACAUUUCACUAAAAUCUAAAUAAAUUAAAAGAGCAAAUAGUAAAUGAUAAAAUGGAAGUAUAUAUGCCUAUAAUAACGAUCGAUCACCCAGCAUAUUAUUUACUAGCACGUUUUCAGAAAGUUCUUCUUUCCAGCUUUUGGCAAACAAAGAAUUUUUGUCCUAAUUGCUUGUGGGAUUGUCCUUAAAUCUUUUAAUAAAUGUCCUGAUAUGUCCUCAUAUAUGAUCUUAAACAAUUUUAUCUGAAAUCUCUUCCUGUUUUAACAUUAAAAACAAACAUGAUCGAGUUAAAGCUUGUACUAUAACAAUAAAUAUGAACCCACACGUAUUUUGUAAUGUAACCCACACUACUAAUAAUUAAACUGAAAAGUCGUAGAAAUUAUGGCAGUCGAAACUUUUCUAUUUUUGCUCCACUCCUUAUAAAUUGUAAUCUAAACUAUAUAAAAAAAAAUAAGAAACAGAGGGAAAUUACAUUAUGCGGUUGUUAAUUUUCUAAUAUUAACUGACAAAAAAACUAUUCUGAAACUGAAAAGAAAUGUUUUCCUUUAAAAACAAUAAAUAUUAUAAUACUGCUUAUUUUUAUUUAAAUUAAUUUGGUUUUCGAAAAUGAAAUAUUCAAAACUAUAAUAAAAUCGGCCCUUACUAUCAUUAUAUAUCCGGACAACUAUAUCACUUUCCGACAAUUCAGAAUUUUUUGUAUUCUAGGAAUGCUAUCUAAAACAAAAUAAGUUUUCAUACUUAAAAUGUUCUCUGAUCUGCACCAAAUCACACAUGUCAAAAGCUUUACAAUUUAGGAAGAUGUAACAUAUAUCACAAUUCAAUUUUUAGAUUAUUUAAAUUAUGAAUUAAAAUGCUAGAUUGUAGAUGCCAUUAUUUUGCUAAAUCAAAGAAUUAAUAAAAAAAAAAAACAUCUCUUAAAUAAUAAAUUGAAGUAAACCAUUGUAAACUGGAUGAUAUUAAACAGUCAUCCUUCCAGGGGAUAUAAAAAAAUAUAUAUUCAUGGGACGUACAGCCUCAAAUGCCUCUAUGUACAAGGAUAAGUGGGUAGUUGAUAUCAAGGCUAGAAUGUUUGCCUCCAGACACUCCUAUAACACAAUGAAAAUAAAUUAAUUAAAACAUUACAGCUAGUUAAGAUAGUAGUUUGGAAAAUUAAUAAGUAGGGUCAAUAGGUUGAAUCUUGUAUUGCAUGAAUCGGUUAACUGAUAAACUAGCACACGGACUUGUGGGUGUUAAAAUUAU
rnacentral:lncRNA from 1 species